rnacentral:tRNA from 1 species
GGAGAGGUGGCUGAGUGGUCGAAGGCAACGGACUUGAAAUCCGUCGUACGUGAAAGCGUACCGUGGGUUCGAAUCCCACCCUCUCCGCCA